CAGGCUAAGCAUGAUGCGCAUGUAAGAGCUAUGGGUAUUAGGUACCUUCUAGAUUGACUCUAGUGCAAGUGGGAGACUGUUGGAGGUAUGCCCUAGAGGCAAUCAUAGAGAUGAUGAUAUUCCAUUUGUAUCCAUGAUUUGUAUGUUGUGUUCAUUGAAUAUCCAUUGAAGGCUACUUGAAUUGAUUUGCAAUUAUGUGAAUUGUAUGUGAAACUCUUACUUGUAUGGUUAUUCUAAAGUUGUCCCUGGUCGGAGUUCAUGUGAGGACACACAUGAAUAUUAGACUAGCACAUGUAUUAGUUGAUGACUAUGUUUCACAAGUCAUGGACAUGGAGAUGUUGAACUAAUAAUGUGGACACAUGUGGAGACAUGUGUUAGGACUGACCCAACACGAGAAGUAGUUCUCUCUUUAAACAACAUAUACGCUUUGUCCUUAGACCUGAGAUUGUCG
rnacentral:lncRNA from 1 species